rnacentral:snRNA from 1 species
AGAUUUGGGAGCAAUCUGGCUACAGCAUCUGUCAGGCCACUGAUCUCCUGUGCUGAUUCAGUUGAUCUGGCUGGCGAGGCAGCCCUCCCUCCUGCCUUCUUCCCUAUCACUGCAUGUACCUCUCCUGAAGAUGCUCGGGUAGGGGAAGAUGACGGCCUUCCCUGCAGAGGAGAACCAGACAUCGGUUAAAGGCAUUCAAGUGGCUGCCUUCCUCCAUUAGAACCUUCCCGUGAGCUCGCAAGGAGCACACAUCACUCCACCACUACGUGUCUCGGGGUGCACUUAAAAGGGGGUUUGGAUUUUCUUUUAACUUACAGAAUAUUUUAUUUUUCCUAUCUCCAAAAUAAAAAACAA